AAAAGUUGUCAACAAAGAAAAAUCCCAAGCCAAACAGCUCUCACAAGUUACUAAGACAACACUCCUCUGCAGUAAUUUGCAAAUAUCAUAAAAGGUUCUCAUUUUGUUGCUGGCAAGACAUGAGGCGAAUAGGACAAAACAAAGUCAUCAUCUCAAUUGGCGGUAUCAUAGCCCUCCCAAAAGAUCUCAGUCUGCAAAUGAAAAUAUGCAAUCAAAUAGUGCACCAAAGCAUCAGGUCGUUGCUACAAAAUUCAAAUAAGAAGAAAAAAUCAUCAAGAGACCAGAAGGGAGUAGAGAAUUCAAAAUUGUCUUUGGACCCAAAGAUACAGCUAAACCUUCAAGGAAAUUAUGAAAAUAAAAUCACAUACAAAAAGAAAAAGCAGAUAUCCCAAAAGAGAAAAGAGUUUAUUUUCCUCGACACCAAAAAAAAGGUGCACGACAAACAGCCUCCGUCCAGAAUCGCCAGGCCGCAAAUUAUUACUUCAAGCAAAAAGCAAAAGGAAAAUAUGGCUCGUCAAUUUCAGGCCAAGAAGCCUCCAUCUCCUGCCGUGCCCAAGAUGGAAGAAGAAAGCAACCAAAAAAAAAAGGGGGUUUGGAAGACCAGGAAGAAACCAGCAAAAGCAAGGAAGAAAAGCCAAACAAAGACAAAGAGAAGAAAAAGUAGCUCUGUACUUUGACAAACAAACGCUGCCUCUUUAAGUUCCCAUACUUUCAAUUAAUAGUUUAAUCGGUCAUAUAGUCUAACUCUGACAUAAAGGAGCAAAGGAAAGACUAACCUUGUUUUGACUUCUCUUUGGUUUUGGC
rnacentral:lncRNA from 1 species